GAUGAACGCUAGCGGCGGGCUUAACACAUGCAAGUCGAAGGGAAAGGGGCUGGUUUUAAGGGGUGCGCGGGUGACGGACAGGUGAGUAACACAUGAGUAACCUGCCCUUGACGUUGGGAUAACUACAGGGGACUAGGCCUAAUACAGGAUAGGUGAUCUUGCUGAAUGGUGGGGGUUGGUAAUUUACGGUGGUGGGGGAUGGACUGGCGGCUUAUCAGCUUGUUGGUGUGGUAGAGGUUUAGCAAGGCUUAGACGGGUAGCCGUACUGAGAGGGGGACCGGCCAAAUUGGGACUGAGAUACGGCACAGAGUCCUAAGGGAGGCAGCAGUGGGGAAGAUUGCACGACGGGCGGAAGCCUGAUGCAGCAACGCCGCGUGCGGGAUGAUGGCCUUCGGGUUGUAAACCGGUUUCGCCUGUGACGAAGCGUGAGUGACGGUAAUGGGUAAAGAAGCACCGGCUAACUACGUG
rnacentral:rRNA from 1 species